rnacentral:rRNA from 1 species
UGGGGAAUAUUGGACAAUGGGCGCAAGCCUGAUCCAGCAAUGCCGCGUGUGUGAAGAAGGCCUUCGGGUUGUAAAGCACUUUUAUCAGGAGCGAAACGCUGUCGGCUAAUACCCGGCGGAACUGACGGUACCUGAGGAAUAAGCACCGGCUAACUUCGUGCCAGCAGCCGCGGUAAUACGAAGGGUGCAAGCGUUAAUCGGAAUUACUGGGCGUAAAGCGUGCGUAGGCGGUUUCUUAAGUCUGCUGUGAAAUCCCCGGGCUCAACCUGGGAAUGGCAGUGGAUACUGGGAGGCUAGAGUGUGUCAGAGGGUGGUGGAAUUCCCGGUGUAGCGGUGAAAUGCGUAGAGAUCGGGAGGAACAUCAGUGGCGAAGGCGGCCACCUGGGACAACACUGACGCUGAGGCACGAAAGCGUGGGGAGCAAACAGGAUUAGAUACCCUGGUAGUCCACGCCCUAAAAGCGAUGCGAACUGGAUGUUGGUCUCAACUCGGAGAUCAGUGUCGAAGCUAACGCGUUAAGUUCGCCGCCUGGGGAGUACGGUCGCAAGACUGAAACUCAAAUGAAUUGACGGGGUCAUAGCUGUUUCCUG